GCUCUUGUAGCUCAGUUGGCUAGAGCACUCCCUUGGUAAGGGAGAGGUCACGGGUUCGACUCCCGUCGAGAGCUCCA
rnacentral:tRNA from 1 species